rnacentral:rRNA from 1 species
AUGCGGAGGUGGUCCUGUGGCGCCGAUGCCCUUAGCCAGCUGCCGGCGGCGGCACUUUUUGUUCGUGCCCAAGCGCCCGGUGAGGCCACCUCUCACCUCCCUCCUAUGGUGCCACCGCCCCCAACCCAUACGCAGCUUCCUCUUCCCCGCUCCCAUGGUAGCAGAUCUGAGUGGUACAAGGUCCCUUCGGUCCUGGUGGUUCGGAAUGAGGCGGGCGGCCUCUGCUCCCUUAUCUUCUGGCGGGUGGCUGGUGCCCCAAUCUCUCUUAGCCAUCUAUGGCGGCAACGACAUCAGGAAGCUCUCUCUUUCUCUCUCUAG